rnacentral:misc_RNA from 1 species
ACACCUCAACUCUUUAUGGUUUUCCAUGAUGAGCUUGGACUCUGGGGGUUUUGCUGGCCUACAGUCAGCUCCUCUAAAAUAAAUCAGCUUACCAGUGUUUGGUGGGUAUCAUGGGUGUGAUAACUAUCUACGCUCGUGGUUUUCCACCAGGUAACCUUCAGCAGUGGAGGUUCACUGGAGCUCAUAGAUGUCUCUCCUCUGUGAGGACAGCCCUUUGAAU